AGCGAACGCUGGCGGCAGGCCUAACACAUGCAAGUCGAACGAAGUCUUCGGACUUAGUGGCGGACGGGUGAGUAACACGUGGGAACGUACCUUUUGGUUCGGAACAACUCAGGGAAACUUGAGCUAAUACCGGAUGAGCCCUUAGGGGGAAAGAUUUAUCGCCGAAAGAGCGGCCCGCGUUAGAUUAGCUAGUUGGUGAGGUAAAGGCUCACCAAGGCUACGAUCUAUAGCUGGUUUGAGAGGAUGAUCAGCCACACUGGGACUGAGACACGGCCCAGACUCCUACGGGAGGCAGCAGUGGGGAAUCUUGCGCAAUGGGCGAAAGCCUGACGCAGCCAUGCCGCGUGAAUGAUGAAGGUCUUAGGAUUGUAAAAUUCUUUUACCAGGGACGAUAAUGACGGUACCUGGAGAAAAAGCCCCGGCUAACUUCGUGCCAGCAGCCGCGGUAAAAC
rnacentral:rRNA from 1 species